UUUACUCGUGAUUUUUUUAUUUUUUUAUUCUGUAAUUAGCUGGCCAGAAUUUUCCCAAGACUUCUCAGUAACCGCCACGCUAACGACUCAGUGCUAACGAUGUUUCUGCGCUGAUGUUGGUGUGAACCAGGCAUUAAGGACACUGUUUGAAGCCACGGUGAUGCAGCGAUACCUAUCUGCCAUCAUUAGCUUUGCCUUGCUGGUAAUGCCAAAAGCUGUGACAAGGAAAACUUGCAACAACCACACCUCAUGUCACUUUAUUUUUAUUUAUCUAUUUAUUUAUUUAUUUUUUUCAGUGAUGGAAGGACAAUGGACAGGAAAAAGUGCAGGAAGAAGUAGAUCUCUCCGACGACUACGGUACCCAAAGGAGUCCUGCAAACACGUGCUUUUUAAGGAACAAUGAAUGCAAACGCUGCCUUAAGAUCCACCCCUGCAACCCUGCCACCUCUGCACCAAAAUUUUCCCCACCAACAACACCAAUCCAAAGUCACAGAUGUCCAACAGCGACACACAUAACCAGUGACCUCAACCUAAACAUGUGUGCGGUGAAGAUGUGAGCAAUGCUGGCGUGCAAAAUGAAGGCUGACUCUCUGAAGGAUUUAGUUGAUCUCAAGGCGAAGUGUGAGAUCACUGAGGACACGUGGUGCGUGGGCGGGGCUGCCAGGCGGUCUUAUCACCUAACUCGCGGAGACGCUUAAAUACGACGUCUGCGGUUCACAGUUUUCACUUUUGCAUUUAACAUUUUUUUUUCUGUGAUUUAUGAAGAAUGUAUAUGUGAUGAAAACUAAUAAGUGAUUGCAUGUAUAU